UCAAUUGCAUGCUCUGGGGCUGAGCCCCAUGCUGACUCAGCAUGUUGACCACCCAAUUAAUGCUGACACAUAGAAAGGUGGAUAAAGGCACAGGUCAGAGACAGUGAUUCUGAGAUCUUCUUGAUGUUUUUCCAUGCUCUCAGUAGCACACGCUAACUACCUUCCUGUGAACUUACAUCAGGUAGGUUACUGUUUUUUCAGAUUUAAUAACACCAUGUCUUAUUGACACUAUCUUUCUCAUUCCAGGUAUGCAGAGACACAUCAGGUAUACGCUCUCAUAUUGGUGUCUGCAUACACAUCAGACUUGGGAGAUGAAAAUGAGCGUGCAAGUGGGUACUUCAGCCGCCCCUGGCAGUGGGAGAAGAUCAAGGCCAACUGCCCUCACAUUAUACAGUUUGGCUCUACUGAUGACCCCUUCCUUCCAUGGAAGGAACAACAAGAAGUGGCAGAUAGGCUGGACGCCAAACUGUACAAAUUCACUGACCGUGGUCACUUUCAGAACACAGAGUUCCAUGAACUGAUUAGAGUGGUGAAGUCUAUGCUGACUCCUGCUCUGUAACACGCCAGGAUGGGGUAGAAGAGUAACAGCCGCUACCCUCACACAGCUUAGACAUGGGACGUCCGUCCAGUUAGACUACAGAAGUGUCUGAGCAACAAACCCAUUUGAACACUCACACUGAGUAACUAGCACUUCCAGUUCCCACAGAGCUUAAAUCUCCCCGAAAAGCUACUAGCUACAGCAGUAUGUUUCCUGUUUGAUAAGAGACAGGUUUUUUAUUUUUAGCUAUCCUGUUGAUGCAAAGAGAGUUAAGUCAGAAGAAUCCAGAACUUGACAUAGACCUGGUUGUGUGUCCCUGUAAUCAUUUCAGAAAAAGCAGGGGAUCAGGAGGGGAAGGCUAUCUUGACCCUGUCUCAGAAAGAGUGAGCAAGAAGAUGACCCAGGUCUCCUGAGGCUCAUUCCAAAUUAUAACUCACUAUGUUUAGCAAGAUGUGUUCCACUUCUGAGACCCCAGUACUUGGAAAACUGAG
rnacentral:lncRNA from 1 species